GAUGAAGAACGUAGCGAAAUGCGAUACGUAAUGUGAAUUGCAGAAUUCAGUGAAUCAUCGAAUCUUUGAACGCAUAUUGCGCUCUCUGGUAUUCCGGAGAGCAUGCUUGUUUGAGUAUCAGUAAACACCUCAACUUCCAUAUCUUUUUUGAAAUGGGAGUUGGACUUGAGUGAUCCCAACGCUUUUCCUCACCGAAAAGUGGCGGGUUACUUGAAAUGCAGGUGCAGCUGGACUUUUCUCUGAGCUAUAGGCAUAUCUAUUUAGUCUGCCUAAAAAACAGAUUAUUACCUUUGCUGCAGCUAACAUAAAGGAGAUUAGUUCUUGUGCUGACUGAUGCAGGAUUCACAAAGACGGCUUCGGCCGACUUUGUAAACUCGAUCUCAAAUCAAGUAAGACUACCCGCUGAACUUAAGCAUAUCAAUAAGCGGAGGA
rnacentral:misc_RNA from 1 species